rnacentral:rRNA from 1 species
AGAGUUUGAUCAUGGCUCAGAUUGAACGCUGGCGGAAUGCUUUACACAUGCAAGUCGAACGGCAGCACGGGGCAACCUGGUGGCGAGUGGCGAACGGGUGAGUAAUACAUCGGAACGUGCCCAAUCGUGGGGGAUAACGUAGCGAAAGUUACGCUAAUACCGCAUACGAUCUACGGAUGAAAGCGGGGGAUCGCAAGACCUCGCGCGAGUGGAGCGGCCGAUGUCAGAUUAGGUAGUUGGUGGGGUAAAGGCUCACCAAGCCAACGAUCUGUAGCUGGUCUGAGAGGGCGACCAGCCACACUGGAACUGAGACACGGUCCAGACUCCUACGGGAGGCAGCAGUGGGGAAUUUUGGACAAUGGGGGCAACCCUGAUCCAGCCAUUCCGCGUGAGUGAAGAAGGCCUUCGGGUUGUAAAGCUCUUUCAGCAGGAACGAAACGGUGGCCACUAAUACUGGCUACUAAUGACGGUACCUGAAGAAGAAGCACCAGCUAACUACGUG